UUGAUUCUUUUGCAGGAACUGGAUCCUUCACAGAAGGAGCCGUAAACCGAACGACCUUAUCACUACCCUAUUGAAGGAGUUUUGGCCCGGAUCUGCGAGUUUUGGCCACGAGUUGGGUCCACUACGAGGCUUCUAGCCACGCGGAGUACGGGACGACCGCUAAGGCCGUGAUCACCAAAUUUUGGGAACUCUAUAGAGUACUUGACGAGCACAAGGCUAGAGCCGACGUGGUCUUGCUGGCGGCUGCGAAGAAGAAAGCUCGUCAGUUGCAGUACGAGGUGCGCUGGGUUGCCGUCUCGCACUACUACCACACCUACCUUCAUCAAAAGAUGAGCAAAACUGAAGCGCAAAAGCAACGACUUACCUUGAACAGGGAGCAGUUCAUGAGGGUUAUUCCUCCUUGGUGCUAUGGAAAGGAUGAUGGAUAGGCGAGUUUGAUGGAUAGGUGGCUCGGUGAAGAUGCAAAGUUUGCUGCCAAGAGCAGCAAGGCCCGGGCUAACCGUGGAAAAGACGGGACACACGGCCAAGGAAACAGGAAUCACUGGGGCUUCAAGGCCAUGAAGGAGGACAAGUUGAAGAGGCCACUCUCAAACAUGGAGUCAUGGAAGAUGGCCCGUGAGCGGAGGAUCGCAAGGUUGGCAAGAGCGAGUACUACAGCAAGACCGAGGAGCACUUGGAGUCUUACACUCAGCAGUUUAAGAGGUUGCAGCCGCCUGGUGGUGGCCAUCCAACCGAAGUCCCAUUGACGCUACCCGUGUUUCGAUGGCUUGAUCACUCCUUCGGUCUCGUACACACGGCUUCGGGAUACCAACCCGAGCCCGUUAGAGAGUACGG